UACGUAGGGGGCAAGCGUUGUCCGGAAUCAUUGGGCGUAAAGAGCGUGUAGGCGGCCAGAAAAGUCCGCUGUGAAAACUCGAGGCUCAACUUCGAGCUGUCGGUGGAAACUUUCUGGCUAGAGUCCGGAAGAGGAGAAUGGAAUUCCUGGUGUAGCGGUGAAAUGCGCAGAUAUCAGGAAGAACACCCGUGGCGAAGGCGGUUCUCUGGGACGGUACUGACGCUGAGACACGAAAGCUAGGGUAGCGAACGGG
rnacentral:rRNA from 1 species